AUGGAGUAUCUAUGCUAUGGAACUGAUGUACUGUUCUCCCCUUUUCACUUUCAGUUUGCAUUUUUUAAAAUCACGAACGGCAUUAUUGCAGAUGCUGGGGUCAUUUUAGUUGCUGAGAUGGCUAGUUUACGUACUACCUUCUGUAGCUUAACAUUUCAUGAUUCUUGUUCAGUGCACACUUUGAUCCUAUUGCUCUUGGCACCCGGUCGCUCCAGCAACUUAACAUUUCAUGAUUCUUGUUCAGUGCACACUUUGAUCCUAUUGCUCUUGGCACCCGGUCGCUCCAGCAACUUGUGUGGAGAUUUUUUUCUCAGCAUAUCUAGGAAGCUGGCUGUGAUUUGGUAUUCCGCAUAG
rnacentral:rRNA from 1 species